rnacentral:rRNA from 1 species
UCUUCCGCAAUGGACGAAAGUCUGACGGAGCAACGCCGCGUGAGUGAUGAAGGUUUUCGGAUCGUAAAACUCUGUUGUUAGGGAAGAACAAGUACCGUUCGAUUAGGGCGGUACCUUGACGGUACCUAACCAGAAAGCCACGGCUAACUACGUGCCAGAAGCCGCGGUAAUAGGUAGGUGGCAAGCGUUGUCCGGAAUUAUUGGGCGUAAAGCGCGCGCAGGCGGUUUUUUAAGUCUGAUGUGAAAGCCCCCGGCUCAACCGUGGAGGGUCAUUGGAAACUGGGAAACUUGAGUGCAGGAGAGGAGAGUGGAAUUCCACGUGUAGCGGUGAAAUGCGUAGAGGUGUGGAGGAACACCAGUGGCGAAGGCGACUCUCUGGUCUGUAACUGACGCUGAGGCGCGAAAGCGUGGGGAGCGAACAG